GAGUAAAGAUUUCGGUCGCUUUGGGAGGAGCUCGCUUACUAUCAGCUUGUUGGUAGGGUAAUGGCCUACCAAGGCUAUGACGGUUAGGGGGUGUGAGAGCAUGACCCCCAGCAUUGGCACUGAAACACUGGCCAAACACCUACGGGUGGCUGCAGUCGAGAAUCUUCCACAAUGGGGGAAACCCUGAUGGAGCGAUGCUGCGUGCGGGAUGAAGGCCUUCGGGUUGUAAACCGCUUUUGUAGGGGACGAAAUUUUUGACGGUACCCUUUCGAAUAAGAGGUUGCUAACUCUGUGCCAGCAGCAGCGGUAAUACAGAGACCUCAAGCGUUAUCCGGAUUUACUGGGCGUAAAGCGUCUGUAGGGGGUUUAUUAAGUUCCAAGUAAAAUUUCAAGGCUCAACUUUGAAUUCGCUUGGAAAACUAAUAAACUGGAGUCUAGCAGAGGUGCAUGGAACUUGUGGUGUAGGAGUGAAAUCCGUUGAUAUCACAAGGAACACCAAAGGCGAAGGCAUUGCACUGGGCUAGCACUGACCCUGAGAGACGAAAGCGUGGGGAGCAAAACGGAUUAGAUACCCGUGUAGUCCACGCCCUAAACGAUGAAUGCUAAAUGUUCGGGGAUUCGACCCCCUGGGUGUUACAGCUAACGCGUUAAGCAUUCCGCCUGGGAAGUACGGCCGCAAGGCUAAAACUCAAAGGAAUAGACGGGGAUCCGCACAAGCGGUGGAGCGUCUGGUUUAAUUCGACAGUAAGCGUGGUACCUCACCAGGGUUUGACAUCCCUUGACAGCCUUGGAAACAAGGUUUCCUUCGGGCAAGGUGACAGGUGCUGCAUGGUCGUCGUCAGUUCGUGCCGUGAGGUGUUCCGUUAAGUCGGGAAACGAACGAAACCCCUAUUGCAUGUUACAAUUUCUCAUGCAAGACUGCCCGGAUAUACUGGGAGGAAGGUGGGGAUGACGUCAGAUCUGCAUGGUCCUUAUACCCUGGGCGACACAGGCGCUACAAUGGCAGAGACAAAGGGUUGCAAAACCGCAAGGUGAAGCUAAUCCCAAAAACUUUGUCUAAGUUCGGAUUGAAGGCUGCAAUUCGCCUUCAUGAGGCUGGAAUCGCUAGUAAUCGUGAAUCAGCCACGUCACGGUGAAUAUGUUCCCGGAUCUUGUACUCACCGCCCGUCACACCAAGAGAGUUGGUAGCUCCCGAAG
rnacentral:rRNA from 1 species